UGGCCUGGGUUGCACAGGAGCACAACGCUCAUCAGUUCCAACCCCUGCUGUGUGCAGGUCGCCAACCAGCAGCCCAGGCUGCCCAGAGCCACAUCCAGCCUGGCCUUGAAUGCCUGCAGGGAUGGGGCAUCCACAGCCUCCUUGGGCAACCUGUUCCAGUGCCUCACCACCCUCUGGCUGAAAAACUUCCUCCUCAAAUCCAACCUAAACCUCCCCUGUCUCAUUUAAAACCAUUCCCCCUUGUCCUAUCAGUGGCCCAAAAUCACACAAUGUCCAAUCAAAAUCACACGACCAGUUCCAACCUGCUGGUGGAUUUCCAUGGACUAAUGACCAAUUAAUUCUGACUGUUUCAAGGGUGCUUACUCUUAAUUAUAAACUCCUGCUUAUACUUACAAACUAUGUCACCUGUAAUUGCAUAUCUUUCCAAUAUCUCUUGGUUCAAAAAACAGAAUAAGCAUUAAUGUUUAAGACCUAAAGCUGACAGCUAGAUGCUUCUCUAGCAGAGUUUGGGAAUACAAAGCAAUGGCAGCUCAGAUGUGUGGAAUGGUUUGGAAUGCAGGGAUGGGGAGCUGAGGUGCAGUGCUGCCCACAGCCCCGGGUGCCAUGGGAGCCAGCAAGCACUGCCAGCCACAGACAGCCCUGCAUUGUCUCAUUUGUUUCAGAAUUAGCUGUCUUUUCAAUCUAAUGUCAGUACUUAUUGUUUGAACUCCGAUGGGCUGGUUUUGCCAAUUAUCAUCAGUGUCUUUUGUGAAGCAGCUUGCCCAGGCUUUUAAAGCACAAUUACCAGCCUGGUGCAGCAGAUAGGAUGCCUGUGACAUUUUCACAUGCUGAAAAUAAAUACGUAAAAUAUAACAAAACAAGACUUUUAUUAGUAACAUACUUCUAGGAAGGAAUAUAAAGUAGCCAUUAGGAAUCCCGCUAACAUCAUUGGUCAUUAUGACAAGAAGGAAAAUAGCUUUCUUAGGGCUUUGAUUUCUCUUUUCUUCUUAAUGGGUACUCCCUUUUCACCAUCACCAGCAGAUGAUCUUGUCUAUUAGCAUUUACUCAGCACUUACCACUUUUAUAUUUCUUCAUAACCUCUGCAAUUCAAGUAACAUCGCAGCUCCGCUCUGAACCUUUACUUUGGUACAUAUGGAUAACGAUGCAGCACCAAAGAUGCCCCCCAUCCUCACUGCCAUUGCAGAAGCCGCCAGGUGGGGUCAUUUGGCUGAGUCAAUCCUGUCACCAUAAACUACAUUUAUACCUCAUCCAAAAGGGUUUUGCAGAACAGUUGUUGCUCAGUUUUAGUCCUAUGUAAUCCAUCGUUCCGAGGAGCUCAGAUGCGUGCAGUGUCUGCACGAGGCAGCUCCUUCCAGCAGCAGCACCGCUCCAUUCUGAGGGCAGAGCCAGACAGAGGGCUUGGAUGUGUCCUCUUCAUACCCCUGCACUGCAUUUAAUUGAGACUCUGUGCACAGUGCAAAAUCAAUUAUAAUGCAGCACCAGAUUUAAAUGCGAUGUCAGUGCGACUGCACGGUUUGGUUUGCCCUCUGUGAAGCAGGGUUAGGCUCUGUUAGACAGGAGCCAAGCAAGAACCAGCCCAGACUUUUCCAAUUAAAACUGGAAUGACAAAUUAUUUAAAGGAGUCUGCACCAUUUCUAAUGGUGAAAAACAGAUGGUAGGUAGGAUGAGUUCCAUAAGAGCCCAGAGCUGAUCUCUAGGACAAGAGGAGUGAAUCAUGAAAGCCCGUGGAUUCAACACAGCUACCAUCAUCCACUUUGCUCUUCUUUCCUGCAGAGCAGGUCUAGCGCAGCACAACACUUGGUGCUUCCCCCUGGCCCACAGUGCUGCACAUCUGUUAAACUCUGCAUAAAGGAUUAGGGUGUGAAACUCAGAUUCAAAGCAGAAUCCUUCUGUUACUGUUUUAGAAGUUUUACAGAGAUAACCCAAUCUUAGCCAUGGAGCACCAGCUCUUGGUUACAUGGCUCUGGAAUAAAAUUUAUAGUACCAUAGAACUGUUCCAUUUAGCAGGGACCUUCAAAGGCCAUCCGGUCCCACACCCCACAAUGACCAGGGACACCCACAGUUCCAUAGGUGCUCAGACUCCAUCCCUGACCUUGGGUGUCUGCAGGGAUGGGGCACCACUGCCUCUCUGGGCACUGUUGGAAAGCUCCAAGUAAACUGAUAAGCGAAGUUCCUACCUGUUGUUCGUGCCUCUCUUUCAAAUAAUUAAUGCAGUCAGUAUGGGAACUGAGUCAGAUUACAAAGCCAAACCCUGUUUCAAGCCAUGUGCAGCAGCUUCAUCAUUUAAAUACGUUCUUGUGCAGUGUAUCCAUGACAAAUGGUUUUGCUUCCCAUGGCAAGUCUCAGUUUUUAGGCUAAUGAACAGAUAUCUCACACUCCCUGAUUCAGGCCUUCCAUCUCCCUAGCCCCACGAGUACAGCCUUUGUUCUGGCAGGUUUGAUGCAUUUGCCCUUUACACCACUGGUGUUUGCUGCUUAAUUACCAGGCGGGGCUACAAAAUGGAAGCAUGCAGCAGUACAGGCUGCGUGCAGCGAGAUCUGGAAGUGCUGCACAGCAGGAUUCCUCUUGCAUUUGUGAAAUCACUCAGCAGAAUUACAGCUUUUGCUGGCAAAGCUACUUAAAAGCAAAUAAGGUCAAAAAAGCAUUAAGGAGCCUGAAGGGAAAGCCCGGCAUUAUUCAUCCGUUCAGAACAUAAAGCUUCUGUGUCAACCACGAGCAGUUAGAGUAAACAUUUGUACAGCACUUCACCUCCAUAGAUGGGGUGAGCAGAGGGGAAUUAUUUCUGGUUGGUAAUGUGAUGGUUUCCCUGCAAACAACAAACGAUGGGAGCGGGUAGGAGGCCGUAGCUCCUCGUGGCACAGCCCUGCUGCAGCCACGUGCCACGUCCUGCUUAUGGAACCUUCGUGAUUUAAGCGACGUGAGCGAUAAAUGCGUGUAACCAAACGAAAAUCAGCCUAUGAACAGAGCUUGAAUCUCAUCUGGGGACACAGAAAAAGAGACGAGCUAAUACGAAGCUAUUAGAAAAUGUUUCCCACGGUUGACCUUAUUGAAGUACUUCUUAGUAGCCCAAAGGUAGGAAGCAUGCACAGCACGCUCGUGGGUUUUAAAAAACGCAGAUAGGAUUGUAUGUAUGGCAGCAAUCCCAUAAACACACCUUAGCUAUAAAAGAAGUCACCGUUUUUUUACCUAGUGCCCAAAACUCAGUUCAGUUUAGACUGGGAAAAUUUGUACUGGCAGUAUUCAAGAUCAGACCAAACAAAAUCAGCCAUGACAACACGCUCUUAAUGAAUUUCAGAAGAGCAAACACUGAGCUAGCUAAUGUCAGCAAGUGAUGCUGCACUUUAUUCCAGAACAAAUACGAUGUCUUAGCGACAAAAGAAAAAACUCCAGGCCUUAUUUGUGCACGGGCAGCUUUCCUGCAAAUAAACUUGCGUAAAUGACAGUGAAUCAAAGAGUAACACUGAGCGCAAUGUGGGAACACUGCUGUACGAAGUGCCACUCACACCGUGUCGGACUCAGAUUCACAUUAUGGAUGAUACCCAUCACACCUUUAUCUGUCUUCUGCUGAUGAAAUUUGCGCUGUGAGUCAAUGUACAGCAUCCGUGUCAAAAGAUCAGAUAUUGUAUUUGUUUGUUUUCUAGCUUGCUUGUAGCUGAUAACAGCAUAAGCCGAGCGAAUCCAAGGAAAAAUAAUUCAUCACAGUGCUCUGUUCCCCCCUGCACUGCCGCAGAGAUAUCCCCAUCACAAGUGUGAGUCCGACUGCAUCAAAUUCCGCUUAAGCAUCAUCCAUCAGCUGCACAGAGAGCACUUUCCUAAGGCUCCUGUAGGGCUGACGGAGCUGAGCACAUUGGUCGGAGCCCAGCCAGGUCAGCAUUGCCCCGACACCCACCUCUGCACUCCCACCCUGCACCAGGCCCUGUGCUGCAGGGACGUCCCUGCCCUGUGCACCGGGGUCACUGCAGCCCCAGCUGCCACCCAUGGAUAAAGCCAUCCCCACAGAGACCCCACAGACAGCUCCAGGGGUUGGGUCACCUCUCCCUGUGCUCAGACCCCUUCUGUUAAGGAUUGUAUCUCACUCUAGAAUCAGGUUAUGGAUUGUACACGAUUAGAAAGCGAUAUGCAUAGAUAUAUAAAUACUAACCUUUUUUAGUCAUUUCUAAAUAAUUCAUCUCCAAUACUACAGGAUAGGGUGAGGGGUUUUGUUUUUAACAAGCGCUUUACAGCCACUGAAUUGAACGGAUGCCUUAUUUGUGAGGGUGGGAGGGAUUUGGAGGAGCAGCCCCUGCUGCACAGGCUGCCACAGAGCCCUGCAGGAUGGACAGCCCAGGCAGCAGGGCUGGAAGGCAGCACAGGGUUGUGCUCCUGGGCCGGGCACUGUGCAACGUGAGCCAAGCAGGAGCACUGCAAUGCUGCAGCACGUGGGGAUCUGCCUGCACCACCAGGUGCAUCCCACAAGGAAUGAAAGAGCCUCUGCAGAACAGGUGGAAAAGCUUUCCUCCAAAGCCACUCAGUAACUGCCUUGUAACCUCACUUCUGUACGAUGGGUAGGAAUGGAAUCACUUCCAUUAAGCAUUGGUUAGGUAAACUUCUCCCAGGAUUAAAAUAUAGCAACGUUUUUCUUUUCUGUUGUUUUCAAAGAGUUUAACCUGAGGUCAACAGAGUCCCUAACUCUUUCCAAAACUCAGCAACAGCCCAUAGGGAUGAGCAUACUUAUUUCCUGCAUCUGUUCUCCAAAUUAAAUCAGAAACUGCUUAUAAAGGAACAUUCCUGGCAGUCCCCAGGGGAGCUCUGAUGGAGACCUGCCGUGACGGCGAUGCUCACUGCUGAGAUCUCCAUGCUGCAGCACGGCUGGAACCUUUCCUCACUUCUUUUUCAUUUGAUACUGUACUAAUUGUAAGGGAAAUAUAACACCACCACAGGGAUAAAAUCUGGAGCACUGGCGAGACACCGGUUGGGUUCAAUGGAUCAAGAGAUACGUUUUAGAUGUUGCUGUGCCAUGAGAGCAGCGAGCAGCCAUGCCCUCACACUGCAGCACCAUUUGUGUUUGCUCUGGCACGAGGAACGUGGUGUGAGGGCGUUUUAGUGGCACAUGUGAACACGAAGGCAGAGCCCAUGUGCCAUUAACACAGUGCUGCUCUUUGGCACUCGUGAUAAUGUACCUUGUUUAACUACGACCAAAUCCAACCAGCCCAAACUUCAGCACUGCACAGCAUCUUGUGACACACACAGUGUUUUCGGUAGCAACAGACUAUGGGAUGUGGGGGCUGCAGCCUGGUAGGACAUACCCGUGUUUCUCGCUUCUAUGUACUAUUUUGUAUGGGUUAGAGAAGAUGGCCUCUGUUGUGCAUUGUUUGUGAAAUGUUUCUUAUCCCAGAGAGGUGUACGAUGUAAAAUACGUCAGUGAAAAGUGUAUAUUUUAUGUGAGAGGAAAAUACAUUUUAAUAAAGGUAAAGCUUUGUUAGCUGUAAAAAUGGCAACUGUUCAAGUGUACAGUAACUUCUUACUAAUGUACGAAAAUCUGUGAUAUUUUUGAUUUGAUUGUAUUUGUAUUGCCCAAAUAAAACAUUUUGGCUGUAUUGUU